GCCAGGCAUGGUGGUGCGUGCCUGUAGUCCCAGCUACUCAGGAGGCUGAGGUGGAAGGAUGGCUUGAGUCCAGGAAGUGGAGGUUGCAGUGAGCCAAGAUAGGGCCACUGCAUUCCAGCCUGGGCAAUAGAGGGAGACUCCAUCUCAA
rnacentral:SRP_RNA from 1 species